GAGUGAGAGACCCCUUAGAGACGAUGAGGUAGAUAGGGCAGGGAUGGAAGCACAGUGAUGUGUGGAGUUGACUGUUACUAAUCGGUCGAAAGCUUGACCAAG
rnacentral:rRNA from 1 species